GCCUCGUCAACAGUUGCUUCACAUCCUUGGCAAUUAAGCAGAAAUAAAUGAUCUGCCAGAGCUUUGAGCUUCCUGCAAAGCCUCCCCCUUGCCUUGGUUUUCCUUCUGGAAGAAUUACAAGCUUUUGGGCAACAGCAGGAGCCUGCAAAGUGCCCUUCACCCCAUCCAUCCCCCAUGAGAACAUGACCUGAGAAAGGUUACUGGCUUUCUGGGUUUUACUCACCACCAGCAGCCAGCCAAGGGUGCUUCAGGUCUGCACCACAGAGACGCGAUGCUGCACCUCCAAGGAGAAAAUGAAGAGGAUGUAUGACAGCUUUUUGCUCUCUCUGCCAAUACAAAGCAUGGAGGUUUCCAGAAGCUGAAAGUGUUUUCAGCUCUUCUUCUGGAGCCUUCUGCACUCCAGGUUUUCCUCCCAUUUCUUCCCUGAGUGGUUGUGACACCCCAUUUGCUGAAUUUAAGCACCUACAACAAGGACGGUGGCCAGAACUAGCUGCGCCCCUGCUCAACCAUUCCCACCUCUGCCCUCUGUUCCUUCUCACACAGCCCAUGCUGCAUCCCAUGUCUCCUCCUGGCCUCUCACCCCAGCACAAGAUGUUUUGACAAGCACUAAAUGGAGCUACUUGCAAAACUGGGUCAAAAUCAACAAAUAAUUUUGGCUGGGGAAAAAAAAAAGUUGUGAAGAGAAGGAGGAAUUUUGAAAAUGCCAUGCAAUGUCACUUAGACAUGUGCAAAAUGAGAUGUUCCAUUUUGGAAAAGCCUAAAUCACAUCAAAGAUUUUCUGACUGACUUCAGACUUUCAAACAGCAUUCCAGUCUCUGGAUUCCAAAAGAGUGGGUUUUGAUAGUUGAAUUGCAGUAUUGUAUUAAAAAAAAAAAAAAAGUUAAAAAAAGUUCUAAAAAAUUGCAGAAGAUUCAGAAGACAGUGUUUUCUCUUGGCCUGAGAAAAAAGGCCUAAGGAUGACCAAACACCUUUACUUUCUGGUUUUCACUUUUUUAUUUUGAGAAAAAAUAUAUGUAAAACUUUCUACUUCAGUUUGACCCAAACAAUCCCCUCUACCUCUCCAGUAUUCAUCCCAGUGAAAAGACACACUAAGAAGAAUCCUCUUUCACUCAGUCCAAGCCAUGGCCUUGAUUUCUACCAUUUUAAUCAGAAUUUUGUACAGCUUCUUCCACCUUUGGCAACAGAGGCAUCUCCCCAAGACAGAUUGGCUUUGCUGGGUUAACAGUAGCUUUGAAAAUCCACCCAGAGUUUAAAUAUAAUGUGAAGAGAUUUAAAGUUAAUGUAAUGGACUUUUAGUGCAGCCAAGCCUAGAGGUAACAGCUUUCAGCACAAUGCCUCACUCAGAAAAUGAAGGGGGUGACCCACUCCACUGAAGUUUGAAAUUAAAAUGGAAAUUAACUUCCUCACUCAUCCAUCAUUAUACCCUCACCUUAGAAAAGCUUUGGCCAUCAAGAGAAAAGAUGGGAUGUAUUUUUUAAUUCCAUUUCUAUUAUGCUCUGAGUUAAUUUUCAUAGAAAUCCUGAGAAGUCACUUGGGAGAAAGCCCAGAAAAAGAAGGCAAAGGAGGAUGCAUUUAAGUGGUUUAUAGGAACUUAAAAGAGAAGGCUCUAUGAUUAAUUUCUGAAGAGCAGUGCCACUUCCUCCAGCCAGGAACAGUCGCAGCAGCGUCCUGGCAUUCCAAGGAAUCAGGUCAGGACCUGCUGUGCCUGAUCCGGCUUGACCAAGGGCAUUGUUGCUCAAAGCAAGGGUGACAAAGGGCAGCAGCAGCAGCACCCAGAGCCACAGCCAUACCCGGGUGCCGUGUCCCCAGCUGGUGCCUGCCCACCCCAGGGCUUGCAGCCUGUCACUGCCCUGCUCUGUCACUGCAGUGACUUGUGCUAUCCCAUCUGCAUCCCAUUCUGCACAUCAGGGAUUGCAGUGUGGGCUCACACAAAGGUGUCAGCAGGAAAUGUGACUUCAAAGGCUGGAAAUGCCCCACCACUAAGGCGGGAGUCUGACUGCAGGGUCUGAAUCUGGCUCAGAGCCGAAAUGCGCAACCCUGUGAACCAUUUGUGGCACUUCUCCUCCAGCAUCUCUUUGGUGUCUCUCACCACUGCCACUUGCUAAUUAGCAUGCUUAUUGUGGGUUGCUUGCUUCUUUUGAAAUGUGCUAAGACACAGAGUUCUGGAAAAAGCACACUGACAAACUUGAAACACCUGUAAUUAUCUGCAG